rnacentral:rRNA from 1 species
UGGCUGCAGUCGAGGAUCUUCGGCAAUGGGCGCAAGCCUGACCGAGCGACGCCGCGUGCGGGAUGAAGGCCUUCGGGUUGUAAACCGCUGUCGUAGAGGAGGAAAUGCAGGAGGGUUCUCCCUUCUGUUUGACCUAUUCUAGGAGGAAGUACGGGCUAAGUUCGUGCCAGCAGCCGCGGUAAGACGAACCGUACAAACGUUACUCGGAAUUACUGGGCUUAAAGGGUGCGUGGGCUGCGCGGAAAGUUGGGUGUGAAAGCCCUCGGCUCAACCGAGGAAUUGCACUCAAAACUACCGUGCUUGAGGGAGACAGAGGUAAGCGGAACUCAAGGUGGAGCGGUGAAAUGCGUUGAUAUCUUGAGGAACACCGGUGGCGAAGGCGGCUUACUGGGUCUUUUCUGACGCUGAGGCACGAAAGCUAAGGUAGCAAACGGGAUUAGAUACCCCGGUAGUCUUAGCUGUAAACGAUGAGCACUUGAUUGGAGGGUCCUCCAUAGCCUUCCAGUCGUAGCGAAAGUGUUAAGUGCUCCGCCUGGGGAGUAUGGUCGCAAGGCUGAAACUCAAAGAAAUUGACGGGGGCUCACACA